rnacentral:lncRNA from 1 species
CUCAGAAUACAACUCAUUUUGAAAACGUCAACAUAUAUAAUGUUGGUGAGUUCGAAAGCCUGUUUGAAUGAAAAGUUUUGAAUAGUUCGUAAAACACCAGAAAAUCUGAUAUUUUCUGUAAGUAGUUUGAAAGUAAUGUGUCAAAAUCAAGUAUUAUUACAUGUGUGCAUUCUGUUUUUAGAAAUUAUAUGAAAUGGAGCCCAUAAAAAUCUGUGUCAUCUGCUGUAUGUAAACUAAUGUAUAAUUGUAUUUAUCCCAGAAAAUCCGAUAUUUUCUGCUUAUAAAACUAUCGUAAUCAUAAAUCCCAAGACCGAGUAUCGAUGUAUGUAUGUUUUUAGUAUCGUCAAGAUUGGUAUAAAUAUACCGAAAUCAUUGAUGGAGUUAGUCUCUAAGUGAGUCGUUUCAACCAUGCUUGAUAAUGACUAAUUCUGCUGUCUUGGCGUUUUCAGGCGUCGGUUUUUAAAUAGGUAAGGUUUAUCGCCCUAGACUGGCCUACUCUAGCUGUAGCGCACGGCUAAGGCGAGGGGGGUCACCCCGUAUAGAUCUAUACACAAACUUCCGCUCUCCCUCUAGGAGACUCUGGUUAUAAUUACAGGCUAUGAUCAUACACUCAAAGCUAUCAACCGACAAGUCUCACUAGAUUCUCAACUUGUUCACGAGUAUUGUAUUUCAUUAAGUAUAAUGUUUACGUGUAUGUUUUACGUUUUCAAAACCCAAAAGUAUGUAUAUGAAUAUAUGAGGUUCAAUGGAUAUGUCGAGGGAUAGUUAAGAUCCACUAAGCAUGUGAUUUUCAGUCCAAGCCGAAUUAGCAUGUAAAUGGACCACUAAGGCCCAAUAAACAUGUAAAAGAGUAAUUUAGGCCUAAUAGGAAUGUAAAUGAACCACUAAGGCACAAUAAACCACUGAUCCAUAGUUCAGGCCCAAACUAACAUGUAAACGGUUCGCAAGGCCCAAUAAACAUGUCAUGGAAAAUAUUAGGCCCAAUAUACACUUAAAUGGGCCCCUAAGCACAUUGGCCAUGUCACGAGAGUAUUAGGCCCAACAAUUUUGUUAUCGAUGUAUUUCGUCUAUUUGUUAUUAUUUCGUUGUUUUGUUUUCUGUCACACCCCUGAACCAGACGACGAAAACGUCCGAGGGCUUGUGCGUGACUUCAUCUUGAAAUAUCAUCCAAAUGAAUUUAAAUGAAACAUAUCAUCAUCAUUACCAUGCAUAAAAUAAUACAACUGCCAUUGUUUACAUCAAGUACAAUAUUUUAAGUUACAUGACCAAAGCGUUAAAACUAUGAACACAACAAAAUACAAUAAAUUUCCCAUUCUCUCCUAACAUUCCACUUAACGAUUUCCAGAGAAUACAAGUCAAUUUGAAAACGUCAACAUAUAUAAUGUUGGUGAUUUCAAAAGCAUCUUUGAAAGAAAAGUUUUGAAUAGUUCGUAAAAAACCAGGAAAUCCGAUAUUUUUUUUAAGUAGUUUGAAGGUAAUGUGUCAAAAUCAAGUAUUAUUGCAUGUCUAUAUUUUGUUUUUAGAAAUGUAUAUGAAAUGCAUCCCAGAAAAUCCUGUUACUUCUGUUGUAAGUAAAAUAAUGUAUAAUUGUAUUUAUCCUAGAAAAUCCAAUAUUCUCUGCUUAUAAACUUAUCGUAAUCAUAAAUCCCAAGACUGAGUAUCGAUGUAUGUAUGUUUUUAGUAUCGUCAAGAUAGAUAUAAAUAUACCGAAGUCUCUGAUGGAGUUAGUCUCUAAGUUUGUCGUUAUAACCAAGCAUGAUAAUGACUAAUUCUCCUGUCUUGGCGUUUUCAGGCGUCGGUUUCGAUGUAGGUAAGGUUUGUCGCCCUAGACUGGCGUAGUCUAGCUGUAGCGAACGGCUAAGGCGUGGGGGGUCACCCCGUAUAGAUCUAUACACAAACUCAUGUUCUCCCUCCAGGAGACUUUGGUUAUUAUUACAUGCUACGAUCAUACACUAAAAGGUAUCAACCGACAAGUCUCACUAGAUUCUCAACUUGUUCAUGAGUAUUGUAUUUCACUAAGUAUAAUGUUUACGUGUAUGUUUUAAGUUUUCAAAUCCCAAAAGUAUUUUUAUGAAUAUAUGAGGUUCAAUGAAUAUGUAGAGGGAUAGUUAAGAUCCACUAAGCGUGUGAUUUUCAGUCAAAGCCCAGUUAGCAUGUAAAUGGACCACUAAGGCCCAAUAAACAUGUGAUCCAAAGUUCAGGCCCAAAUUAACAUGUAAAUGGGUCGCAAGGCCCAAUAAACAUGUUAUAUAAAAUAUUAGCCCCAAUAUACACUUUAAUGGGCCCCUAAGGCCCAUUGGCCAUGUAACGAGAGUAUUAGGCCCAAUAAUACUAUUAUCAAUGUAUUUCGUCCAUUUGUUAUUAUUUCGUUGUUUUGUUUUCUGUCACACCCCUGAACCAGACGGCGGAAACGUCCGGGGGCUUGUGCGUGACUUCAUCUUGAAAUAUCAUCACAAUGAAUAUAAAUGAAACAUAACAUCAUCAUUACCAUGCAUAAAAUAAUCUAACUGCAAUUUUUUACAUCAAGUACAAUAUUUUAAGUUACUUGACCAAUGCAUUAAAAGUAUGAUGACAAGAAAAUAAAAUAAAUUUCCUAUUCUCUGCUGACCUUCCACUUAACGAUUUCCUCAGAAUACAACUCAUUUUGAAAACGUCAACAUAUAUAAUGUUGGUGAGUUCGUAAGCCUGUUUGAAUGAAAAGUUUUGAAUAGUUCGUAAAACACCAGAAAAUCUGAUAUUUUCUGUAAGUAGUUUGAAAGUAAUGUGUCAAAAUCAAGUAUUAUUACAUGUGUGCAUUCUGUUUUUAGAAAUUAUAUGAAAUGGAGCCCAUAAAAAUCUGUGUCAUCUGCUGUAUGUAAACAAAUGUAUAAUUGUAUUUAUCCCAGAAAAUCUGAUAUUUUCUGCUUAUAAAACUAUCGUAAUCAUAAAUCCCAAGACCGAGUAUCGAUGUAUGUAUGUUUUUAGUAUCGUCAAGAUUGGUAUAAAUAUACCGAAAUCAUUGAUGGAGUUAGUCUCUAAGUGAGUCGUUUCAACCAUGCUUGAUAAUGACUAAUUCUGCUGUCUUGGUGUUUUCAGGCGUCGGUUUUUAAAUAGGUAAGGUUUAUCGCCCUAGACUGGCCUACUCUAGCUGUAGCGCACGGCUAAGGCGAGGGGGGUCACCCCGUAUAGAUCUAUACACAAACUCCCGCUCUCCCUCUAGGAGACUCUGGUUAUAAUUACAAGCUAUGAUCAAACACUCAAAGCUAUCAACAGACAAGUCUCACUAGAUUCUCAACUUGUUCACGAGUAUUGUAUUUCAUUAAGUAUAAUGUUUACGUGUAUGUUUUACGUUUUCAAAACCCAAAAGUAUGUAUAUGAAUAUAUGAGGUUCAAUGGAUAUGUCGAGGGAUAGUUAAGAUCCACUAAGCAUGUGAUUUUCAGUCCAAGCCGAAUUAGCAUGUAAAUGGACCACUAAGGCCCAAUAAACAUGUAAAAGAGUAAUUUAGGCCUAAUAGGAAUGUAAAUGAACCACUAAGGCACAAUAAACCACUGAUCCAUAGUUCAGGCCCAAACUAACAUGUAAACGGGUCGCAAGGCCCAAUAAACAUGUCAUGGAAAAUAUUAGGCCCAAUAUACACUUAAAUGGGCCCCUAAGCACAUUGGCCAUGUCACGAGAGUAUUAGGCCUAAUAAUGUUGUUAUCGAUGUAUUUCGUCCAUUUGUUAUUAUUUCGUUGUUUUGUUUUCUGUCACACCCCUGAACCAGACGACGAAAACGUCCGAGGGCUUGUGCGUGACUUCAUCUUGAAAUAUCAUCCAAAUGAAUUUAAAUGAAACAUAUCAUCAUCAUUACCAUGCAUAAAAUAAUACAACUGCCAUUGUUUACAUCAAGUACAAUAUUUUAAGUUACAUGACCAAAGCGUUAAAACUAUGAACACAACAAAAUACAAUAAAUUUCCCAUUCUCUCCUAACAUUCCACUUAACGAUUUCCAGAGAAUACAAGUCAAUUUGAAAACGUCAACAUAUAUAAUGUUGGUGAUUUCAAAAGCAUCUUUGAAAGAAAAGUUUUGAAUAGUUCGUAAAAAACCAGGAAAUCCGAUAUUUUUUUUAAGUAGUUUGAAGGUAAUGUGUCAAAAUCAAGUAUUAUUGCAUGUCUAUAUUUUGUUUUUAGAAAUGUAUAUGAAAUGCAUCCCAGAAAAUCCUGUUACUUCUGUUGUAAGUAAAAUAAUGUAUAAUUGUAUUUAUCCUAGAAAAUCCAAUAUUCUCUGCUUAUAAACUUAUCGUAAUCAUAAAUCCCAAGACUGAGUAUCGAUGUAUGUAUGUUUUUAGUAUCGUCAAGAUAGAUAUAAAUAUACCGAAGUCUCUGAUGGAGUUAGUCUCUAAGUUUGUCGUUAUAACCAAGCAUGAUAAUGACUAAUUCUCCUGUCUUGGCGUUUUCAGGCGUCGGUUUCGAUGUAGGUAAGGUUUGUCGCCCUAGACUGGCGUAGUCUAGCUGUAGCGAACGGCUAAGGCGUAGGGGGUCACCCCGUAUAGAUCUAUACACAAACUCAUGUUCUCCCUCCAGGAGACUUUGGUUAUUAUUACAUGCUACGAUCAUACACUAAAAGGUAUCAACCGACAAGUCUCACUAGAUUCUCAACUUGUUCAUGAGUAUUGUAUUUCACUAAGUAUAAUGUUUACGUGUAUGUUUUAAGUUUUCAAAUCCCAAAAGUAUUUUUAUGAAUAUAUGAGGUUCAAUGAAUAUGUAGAGGGAUAGUUAAGAUCCACUAAGCGUGUGAUUUUCAGUCAAAGCCCAGUUAGCAUGUAAAUGGACCACUAAGGCCCAAUAAACAUGUGAUCCAAAGUUCAGGCCCAAAUUAACAUGUAAAUGGGUCGCAAGGCCCAAUAAACAUGUCAUAGAAAAUAUUAGCCCCAAUAUACACUUUAAUGGGCCCCUAAGGCCCAUUGGCCAUGUAACGAGAGUAUUAGGCCCAAUAAUACUAUUAUCAAUGUAUUUCGUCCAUUUGUUAUUAUUUCGUUGUUUUGUUUUCUGUCACACCCCUGAACCAGACGGCGGAAACGUCCGGGGGCUUGUGCGUGACUUCAUCUUGAAAUAUCAUCACAAUGAAUAUAAAUGAAACAUAACAUCAUCAUUACCAUGCAUAAAAUAAUCUAACUGCAAUUUUUUACAUCAAGUACAAUAUUUUAAGUUACUUGACCAAUGCGUUAAAAGUAUGAUGACAAGAAAAUAAAAUAAAUUUCCUAUUAUCUGCUGACCUUCCACUUAACGAUUUCCUCAGAAUACAACUCAUUUUGAAAACGUCAACAUAUAUAAUGUUGGUGAGUUCGUAAACCUAUUUGAAUGAAAAGUUUUGAAUAGUUCGUAAAACACCAGAAAAUCUGAUAUUUUCUGUAAGUAGUUUGAAAGUAAUGUGUCAGAAUCAAGUAUUAUUACAUGUGUGCAUUCUGUUUUUAGAAAUGUAUAUGAAAUGGAGCCCAUAAAAAUCUGUGUCAUCUGCUGUAUGUAAACUAAUGUAUAAUUGUAUUUAUCCCAGAAAAUCUGAUAUUUUCUGCUUAUAAAACUAUCGUAAUCAUAAAUCCCAAGACCGAGUAUCGAUGUAUGUAUGUUUUUAGUAUCGUCAAGAUUGGUAUAAAUAUACCGAAAUGUUUGAUGGAGUUAGUCUCUAAGUUAGCCGUUACAACCAUGCUUGAUAAUGACUAAUUCUGCUGUCUUGGCGUUUUCAGGCGUCGGUUUAGAUGUAGGUAACGUUUGUCGCCCUAGACUGGCCUAGUCUAGCUGUAGCGAACGGCUAAGACGUGGGGGGUCACUCCGUAUAGAUCUAUACACAAACUUCCGGUCUCCCUCCAGGAGACUCUGGUUAUAAUUACAUGCUACGAUCAUACACUCAAAGGUAUCAACCGACAAGUCUCACUAGAGUCUCAACUUGUUCACGAGUAUUUUGUUUCACUAAGUAUAAUGUUUACGUGUAUGUAUUAAGUUUUCUAAUCCCAAAAGUAUUUAUACGAAUAUAUGAGGUUCAAUGGGUAUGUAGAGGGAUAGUUAAGUUCCACUAAGCGUGUGAUUUUUAGUCGAAGCCCAAUCAGCAUGUAAAUGGACCAAUAAGGCCCAAUAAACAUUUAAAAGAGUAAUUUUGGCCUAAUAGGAAUGUAAAUGGGCGACUAAGGCCCCAUAAACAUGUGAUCCAUAGUUCAAGCCGAAAUUAACAUGUAAAUGGAUCGCAAGGCCCAAUAAAU